GAUGAACGCUAGCGGCAGGCUUAAUACAUGCAAGUCGAGGGGCAGCAUGACUGUAGCAAUACAGUUGAUGGCGACCGGCAAACGGGUGCGGAACACGUACAGAACCUUCCUUCGAGCGGGGAAUAGCCCAGAGAAAUUUGGAUUAAUACCCCAUAGUAUAUUAGAGUGGCAUCACUUUGAUAUUAAAGAUUUAUCACUUGAAGAUGGCUGUGCGGCUGAUUAGGUAGUUGGCGGGGUAACGGCCCACCAAGCCUUCGAUCAGUAACUGGUGUGAGAGCACGACCAGUCACACGGGCACUGAGACACGGGCCCGACUCCUACGGGAGGCAGCAGUAAGGAAUAUUGGUCAAUGGACGAAAGUCUGAACCAGCCAUGCCGCGUGGAGGAUGAAGGUCCUCUGGAUUGUAAACUUCUUUUAUAUGGGACGAAAAAAGGGUUUUCUAACUCGUCUGACGGUACCAUAUGAAUAAGCACCGGCUAACUCCGUGCCAG
rnacentral:rRNA from 1 species